rnacentral:antisense_RNA from 1 species
GAUAACCAAGGAUAACUCUAGGAUCAAGUGUUGGGUUGACAAGUCUUACUUCUCCUCCUCCAGGAGCCCAUGUAUCAUAAGCACCGCCAAUAAAACACCAGUUUACUGACCAAGCUAAUGCACCUACUCCUAAAACAAUCAAAUGAUAUCCAAGAAUAUUGGUCAUUUGAUUUUUAUCUCUCCA